UGCCAAUUUAUUAUCUGAUUUUUCCCUCAGAAAGAUACUUUCAGCUGUUAAUUUAUGAAAAUUGAGUCCUUAAGGUAGCUUAUCAAGUGUGUGGUCAGAAUUUCUUAAUUGUAAAGAUUUUGUCACUACUGGUUGCUCAAAACGUAAAUUAUAAACAGCUAUAUAUGUAAGUUCUUAAGAAUUAUCUUCUCUUAAAUUCUUGCAAAUUUAGGACCUCUUGAAUGGUGAUUCAUAUCCUCCGUACUGUUUAUCAUAUUCACCAUUAGUUAAUAUUAAAAAUGCAUGAUCCUAUAUUUUUAGUAUUCUUAACUCUUUUAUUUUUU
rnacentral:lncRNA from 1 species